AGAGUGAUGGUCAGGCUGGUUAUCAUUCCCAGGUCUGGUGGAAGGUUCCCGGACAACUGGUUACUGCUGAGGUCGAGGAGCAAGAGCUCUUUGCAACGUCCCAUCUCCGGAGGUAUGUCCCCUGAAAGCUGGUUCAUGCUUAGAUUGAGCUGACUUAAGAGGUUCAUUUUGCCAAUCUCCGCAGGAAUAGGACCACUCAGGUUGUUGAACGAGGCAUCCAGGAUUUCCAGAUUCGAAAGCGAGCCAAACUCGGCAGGGAACGGCCCAGACAGCUGGUUAUCAUGCACGUCGAGCAUUUGCAG
rnacentral:lncRNA from 1 species